rnacentral:tRNA from 1 species
GGGCCCGUAGCGCAGAGGUCGUCGCGCCCUCACGGCAUGUGGGAGGACGCCGGUUCGAAUCCGGCCGGUCCCG